CACACAAAAACCGAAUGGCUAUUUUUUGUGGAAAUAUUCCUACUAUAGAAUACAGCCCAAAAUACCGAACAUCGGACCACCCAGGGGAACAGUUAAUUGAUAUUUUACCUCCCUGCGCUUGUGGAGCCUUUCGCAUGGUUCAUACGAAUUCCUUUGUGCUCAGGUUAGAUGGCUUCCAUUUCGGGACUUUACACGUGUUCG